UGGGGAAUUUUGGACAAUGGGGGCAACCCUGAUCCAGCAACGCCGCGUGAAGGAUGAAGGCCUUCGGGUCGUAAACUUCUUUUGCAGGGGACGAAUCUGUCCGUGAAUAACGGAUCAUGACGGUACCCUGCGAAUAAGCCACGGCUAACUACGUGCCAGCAGCCGCGGUAAUACGUAGGUGGCAAGCGUUACUCGGAAUUACUAGGCGUAAAGCGCAGGUAGGUGGUUUGAUAAGUCCGUAAUGAAAUCUCCCGGCUUAACUGGGAGGGGUUUAGGGAUACUGUCAGGCUUGAGUGUGGGAGAGGUCGCUGGAAUUCCUGGUGUAGCGGUGAAAUGCGUAGAGAUCAGGAGGAACACCUAUGGCGAAAGCAGGCGACUGGCCCAAUACUGACACUGAGCUGCGAAAGCUAGGGGAGCAAACAGG
rnacentral:rRNA from 1 species